rnacentral:snRNA from 1 species
AGAUGUCCAAGUGAUCUGGCUGUGAAAUCUGUCACAGCGCUGAGUGGCAGGGUUGGUUUGGCUGAUCUCGUUCGGCUAGGUGGGUGUCCCCUUUCUCCCUCACUGCUCCAUGCAGGCGCCUCCAGAAGCUGGGUGUGAUGUUGAAGAAAGCAACCUUCCCUGAACAGAAGAACUCAUCUUCCAUCAAAGGUACAUGGAUAGCUGUGCUCUCUCCUGCUACAGCCUCCAAACAAGUUAUCAAAAAUGCAAAGGUAUUGGGUGAGUUUUAACCCCCCCCCCUGGGUGGGG